UUUAUAGAAACAACAAGCCAAAUUGGCAAAACCAAUUUCUAUUCUUUGUAAAAUGAGAACUAUAACUAAUAUAGGUCAAGCUACAAAGGGCGCAUGGUGAAUGCCUUGGCAUCAGGAGCCGAUGAAGGACGUGAUAAGCUGCGAUAAGCUUCGGGUAGGCGCACAUAGCCUGAGAUCCGAAGAUCUCCGAAUGAGGAAACUCACAUGGGAAACCCCAUGUAUCAUUAAGUGAAUACAUAGCUUAAUGAAGGUAACCCAGGGAACUGAAACAUCUAAGUACCUGGAGGAAGAGAAAGAAAAAUCGAUUUUCUUAGUAGCGGCGAGCGAAAGGGAAAGAGCCCAAACCGGAAACUUGUUUCCGGGGUUGUGGACAUAGCAUCAAAGUGGAGGCUAUUGUAACUGAAGAGAACUGGAAAGUUCCACCGUAGAAGGUAAUAGUCCUGUAAGUGAAACGAGAAGACCACGAGUUAUGAUCCAGAGUACCACGAGACACGUGAAACCUUGUGGGAAGCAGGGAGGACCACCUCCCAAGGCUAAAUACUACCUGAUGACCGAUAGUGAAGCAGUACCGUGAGGGAAAGGUGAAAAGAACCCCGGGAGGGGAGUGAAAUAGAACCUGAAACCGUGUGCCUACAACCGCUCAGAGCCCCUUAUGAGGGUGAUGAGGUGCUUUUUGUAGAACGAGCCAACGAGUUACGGUAUGUAGCAAGGUUAAGUACUUAAAGUACGGAGCCGAAGGGAAACCGAGUCUGAAUAGGGCGACUAGUUGCAUGCCGUAGACCCGAAACCGGGUGACCUAUCCAUGGCCAGGUUGAAGCGAGGGUAAAACCUCGUGGAGGACCGAACCACGUUGCUGUUGAAAAAGCAUGGGAUGAGCUGUGGAUAGCGGAGAAAUUCCAAUCGAACCCGGAGAUAGCUGGUUCUCUCCGAAAUAGCUUUAGGGCUAGCGUCGAGUAUGAGUAGUGGAGGUAGAGCACUGAAUGGGCUAGGGGGCAUAGCGCUUACCGAACCUUAUCAAACUCCGAAUGCCACAUACUUUGAGCUCGGCAGUCAGACUACGAAUGAUAAGAUCCGUGGUCAAAAGGGAAACAGCCCAGAUCGUCAGCUAAGGUCCCAAAGUGUAAGUUAAGUGGGAAAGGAUGUGAGAUUUCUAAGACAACUAGGAUGUUGGCUUAGAAGCAGCCAUUCAUUAAAAGAGUGCGUAAUAGCUCACUAGUCGAGAGAUCUUGCGCCGAAAAUGUAACGGGGCUAAACUUACCACCGAAGCUACGGGCUUGAACUUAUGUUCAAGCGGUAGGAGAGCGUCGUAACCGGGUUGAAGUCGUACCGUAAGGAGCGGUGGACUGGUUACGAGUGAGAAUGUUGGCAUCAGUAGCGAGAUGUGGGUGAGAAUCCCACAGGCCGAAAACCUAAGGUUUCCUCAGGAAGGUUCGUCCGCUGAGGGUUAGUCGGGACCUAAGCCGAGGCCGAAAGGCGUAGGUGAUGGACAACUGGUUGAUAUUCCAGUACCACUACCAUCGUUAUUAUCGAUGGCGUGACGCAGGAGGAUAGUGUGUGCUAGCUAUUGGAUGCUAGUCUAAGCGUUUAGGCAGUGAGAGUAGGCAAAUCCGCUCUCAUAAUGCUGAGGCGUGAUGGGGAAGGUUCUACGGAACCGAAGUACAUGAUUCCACGCUGCCAAGAAAAGCGUCUAGAGAGAGAAGUAGUGCCCGUACCGCAAACCGACACAGGUAGGUGAGGAGAGAAUCCUAAGGCCGGCGGAAGAAUUACAGUUAAGGAACUCGGCAAAUUGAUCCCGUAAGUUCGCGAGAAGGGGUGCCUACGAGAGUAGGCCGCAGAGAAUAGGCCCAAGCAACUGUUUAGCAAAAACACAGGUCUCUGCUAAAGCGUAAGCUGAUGUAUAGGGGCUGACGCCUGCCCGGUGCUGGAAGGUUAAGGGGAACACUUAGCGCAAGCGAAGGUGUGAACUUAAGCCCCAGUAAACGGCGGCCGUAACUAUAACGGUCCUAAGGUAGCGAAAUUCCUUGUCAGGUAAGUUCUGACCCGCACGAAUGGCGUAAUGACUUGGGCACUGUCUCAACUGUAAAUCCGGCGAAGUUGUAGUGCGAGUGAAGAUGCUCGCUACCCGCGAUUGGACGGAAAGACCCCGUAGAGCUUUACUGUAGCUUAGCAUUGAGUUUUGGUAUUGUCUGUACAGGAUAGGUGGGAGACUAGGAAACCAGGGCGUCAGCCUUGGUGGAGUCAACCUUGGGAUACCACCCUGACAGUACUGAAAUUCUAACUGGCGGCCAUGAAUCUGGUCACAGGACAUUGUUAGGUGGGCAGUUUGACUGGGGCGGUCGCCUCCUAAAAAGUAACGGAGGCGCCCAAAGGUUCCCUCAGAACGGUCGGAAAUCGUUCGAAGAGUGCAAAGGCAGAAGGGAGCCUGACUGCGACACCCACAAGUGGAGCAGGGACGAAAGUCGGGCUUAGUGAUCCGGUGGUACCUCGUGGGAGGGCCAUCGCUCAACGGAUAAAAGCUACCUCGGGGAUAACAGGCUGAUCUCCCCCAAGAGUCCACAUCGACGGGGAGGUUUGGCACCUCGAUGUCGGCUCGUCGCAUCCUGGGGCUGAAGUAGGUCCCAAGGGUUGGGCUGUUCGCCCAUUAAAGCGGCACGCGAGCUGGGUUCAGAACGUCGUGAGACAGUUCGGUCCCUAUCCGUCGCGGGCGUAGGAAAUUUGAGAGGAGCUGUCCUUAGUACGAGAGGACCGGGAUGGACUGACCUCUGGUGUACCAGUUGUUCCGCCAGGAGCACAGCUGGGUAGCUAAGUCGGGAAUGGAUAAACGCUGAAAGCAUCUAAGCGUGAAGCCAACCUCAAGAUGAGAUUUCCCAUAGCGUAAGCUAGUAAGAUCCCUUGAAGAACACAAGGUUGAUAGGUCGGGGGUGUAAGCAUGGUAACAUGUUCAGCUGACCGAUACUAAUAGAUCGAGGGCUUGACCAA
rnacentral:rRNA from 1 species